GACGUAGGGCGCGAGCGUUGUCCGGAUUUAUUGGGCGUAAAGAGCUCGUAGGCGGCUUGUCGCGUCGGCUGUGAAAACCCGGGGCUCAACUCCGGGCUUGCGGGCGAUACGGGCAGGCUAGAGUUCGGUAGGGGAGACUGGAAUUCCUGGUGUAGCGGUGAAAUGCGCAGAUAUCAGGAGGAACACCGGUGGCGAAGGCGGGUCUCUGGGCCGAUACUGACGCUGAGGAGCGAAAGCGUGGGGAGCGAACAGG
rnacentral:rRNA from 1 species